rfam:Vibrio harveyi ATCC BAA-1116 chromosome II, complete sequence.
UGACCCUUUUAAGCCGAGGGUCACCUAGCCAACUGACGUUGUUAGUGAACCCAAUUGUUCACACGUAUAUACAGCCAAUCACAAACCUUGUGGUUGGCUUUUUUUUC